ensembl:lncRNA
UGUGUGUGUGUGUGUGUGUGUGUGUGUGUGUGUAAGAAUAGUGUAUUUGAAGGGUGUGUGAAAAGUAGAGAUGGAGAGAGACAGUUGGGUGAGAGAUGGAGAGAUGGAGAGAGACAGUUGGAUGAGAGACAGUUGGGUGAGAGAUGGAGAGAGACAGUUGGGUGAGAGAUAAAGCGAGACAGUUGGGUGAGAGAUGGAGAGAGACAGUUGGGUGAGAGAGGGAGAGAGACAGUUGGGUGAGAGAUGGAGAGAGACAAUUGGGUGAGAGAUAGAGAGAUGGAGAGAGACAGUUGGGUGAGAGAUGGAGAGAGACAGUUGGGUGAGAGAUGGAGAGAGACAGUUGGGUGAGAGAUGGAGAGAGUCAGUUGGGUGAGAGAUGGAGAGAGACAGUUGGGUGAGAGAUGGAGAGAGACAGUUGGGUGAGAGAGGGAGAGAGACAGUUGGGUGAGAGAUGGAGAGAGACAGUUGGGUGAGAGAUGGAGAGAGACAGUUGGGUGAGAGAUGGAGAGAGACAGUUGGGUGAGAGACGGAGAGAGACAGUAAAUAGAAUAUGUUAUUCUAAGUACCUACCCACUGGACACAGACGUCAAUUCAACAUCUAGUUUGGAUUUACAUUUGGUUGAGUUGUCAACUAACGUGAAUUCAAUGUAAAAUUAUUUAAAAUUCAACAUAUCAUUUGAUUUAGGUGAAAAAAUAAUACAACAUUCCCUUACAUUGAGGACUUUUUGCAAAUCCAAUCAGUUUUCCAUGUUGAUUCAGCGUCAUCAAAUGACAUUUUUCUGAUUGAAAUGAUGUGGAAACAACGUUGUUUCAACCAGUCUUUUCCCCAGUGGGUAAAAACAUGGCAUUGAGGGGAUGAAAUUAAAUGUAUCAUUCUUUGCAUUACAGGAGAAGUGCUUGUGUGUGUGUGUGUGUGUGUGUGUGUGUGUGUGUGUGUGUGUGUGUUUGCACGUGUGUGUGUGUGUUUGCAUGUGUGUGUGAGAGAGAAAGAGAUAUGUGUAGAGGAUGUGUAUGAAUAUAUUGAUUGAAAAAUAUUUUAUGUCCCCCCUAAGAAAUGUAAUACAUUUUUAGCAUUAUAUAGUUAAGACUCUUUUGCUUGCAAAAUCAUGUAGCCUAUAAGUAGGACGUUGUGUGGCCUACUGAUUUGAUUUAAUCAGAUAUUAUCACGGUCCUGUAAUUUCUCUAAAUAGUAGAAAGCUGUUAAUUACUUAUCAAAAUGUCUUAUGUUCUGUGUCCUAAAAGUAAUACAUUAGUAAAUCGCUUGUUAGUUUUGUUAGGGAGUGUUUGAUGAAGUUAGAACUGAAAUUCUUGAUACAAACAUGGUAAGACUGUGCUUGGGCUCUGUAAAGUAAUUGCUGUUCUUCUCAGUGUGAACACGCUCUACUCGUUUGUGAAGGAGCAGGCGGUUUGAUGGUAUAUUUGAAAACUGUGGUACUGUGACAGAAUCAUACAUGUGUCAAGAAAACGGGUAAUUUGUUCUUUACUCUUACACAGAUAUUAUAUCGUGUAUUACAAAUGUUGUCAAAGAUAAGAGCAAUUAGGUUGCCUUAAUAUGGCAGUUUCAGUGUGGAAUUGUGACCAGGUUAGAAUUUAUCAGAUUUUUUUAAAUGCACGGUCUGUAAAUUCACGUUGUAUUUUGUUGCACAUGCAGCAUGUGCCAGCAGGGAAGAGCUUGAAAAAUGUACGCACAGCUGUAUGCAUAUUUGUACAUACCUUGUAUGUGGAGAAAAAGUUCCCUAAACAUCAUGAACAAUUGCUUUAAUAUUGAGAGGACAUAAUAUUGGAGCGCAAUGAGCAGCCGAGCUGGGGGCUGUUAGAUGAGUGUCGCUGUCCACUGAACGGUGGUGCUGAACUGUUGCGCUCUCUUGUAUGACUUCAAGGGGCCAUUUUAAACACUUACACAUCAAAGAAUUUAUUGAUUGGUAUAUUUUUAUUACAAAUGUCAAAUGUGAACUUUAAGUACUAAACAGAGAUAAACAUACACAUGGUGAUUGUUUGAAAUGGGGGGAAAUGUAUAUGCACUGGACAAAAGAGAGGGGAAAGUGUAGCAGCCCACAUGAUACUAGUGGAGUAACUGUGUGUUUCAGGGGAAAUGUAUGCAACACCCAGGUGUUUCAGAAUAUUGUCAAGAUGAGAGUCCAUAUAUUUUCUAUAAUUCUGAAUGAGUUGUAUGUCCCAUUCCAACUGCACACGACGCUGAAAUGUGUUUAAGUCAAAUAGGAUGCAGUUGACUUGAAAGAAAAAAAUGGAAGAAAAAGCCUAAUUUUACAUCAUUACAAAUUGCACUGAAAAUACACACUACUUGGCCUAACUAGAAGACAGGACAGUUAAAACAUAUUACAGGACAUUUAUUUAUUGAAGACAUUGAAGAGCUAGAGGGACUGUCUGACAGCAGAGUAGUGUUUCGUAGCCGGUUCAUACAGCCAGUUAUACAGAUGAUGCAGGAUUAGACCACUACAAUAUACAGACGGCCUUUGAACUCCCAAAAAUUAUUGUGUGUGUGGUGUGAGAGAGAUAAAAUGGUGUGUUUGUCUGUUUCAAGAGUGUGUGUGUCAGUAUACAGUAUGUAAGAGGGGUGUCUGGAAGGGUGUGUGUGUGUGUGUGUGUGUGUGUGUGUGUGUGUGUGUGUGUGAGAGAGAGAUAAAAUGGUGUGUUUGUCUGUUUCAAGAGUGUGUGUGUCAGUAUACAGUAUGUAAGAGGGGUGUCUGGAAGGGUGUGUGUGUGUGUGUGUGUGUGUGUGUGUGUGCGAGAGAGAGAUAAAAUGGUGUGUUUGUCUGUUUCAAGAGUGUGUGUGUCAGUAUACAGUAUGUUAGAGGGGUGUCUGGAAGGGUGUGUGUGUGUGUGUGUGUGUGUGUAUGUGAGAGAGAUAAAAUGGUGUGUUUGUCUGUUUCAAGAGUGUGUGUGUCAGUAUACAGUAUGUUAGAGGGGUGUCUGGAAGAGUGUGUGUGUGUGUGUGUGUAUGUGAGAGAGAGAUAAAAUGGUGUGUUUGUCUGUUUCAAGAGUGUGUGUGUCAGUAUACAGUAUGUAAGAGGGGUGUCUGGAAGGGUGUGUGUGUGUGUGAGAGAGAGAUAAAAUGGUGUGUUUGUCUGUUUCAAGAGUGUGUGUGUCAGUAUACAGUAUGUAAGAGGUGUGUCUGGAAGGGUGUGUGUGUGUGAGAGAGAGAGAUAAAAUGGUGUGUUUGUCUGUUUCAAGAGUGUGUGUGUCAGUAUACAGUAUGUAAGAGGGGUGUCUGGAAGGGUGUGUGUGUGUGGAUUAGACCACUAGAAUAUACAGAUGUCCUUUGAACUCCUAACACUGAAAUGUGUUUUAUAUUUUCCAUCAAAUGGGCUGUUGCAAUGUCAAUAAAUGCCUUAUUUUUAAUGUGUUACCGGGGACACUAUUUCUGUUGAUGUAUAAUCGGUGUGUCUGCGUAUAGGUCUUUAUGAAUACAUACCUGUCUAGAAUUCAUCACGUGAUAUUCCAUUAACAAAAAUGCAAACCCACAC